rnacentral:ncRNA from 2 species
UAAUCAAGCUAGGGGUGCCUUAAAUGGCUGAGAGGAGCUUAGCUUCAACCCUAUAACCUGACCUGGAUAAUACUAGCGUAGGGAAGCUGCCUGAUAAAGUU